GAUGAAGAACGUAGCGAAAUGCGAUAAGUAGUGUGAAUUGCAGAAUUCAGUGAAUCAUCGAGUCUUUGAACGCACAUUGCGCCCCCUGGCAUUCCGGGGGGCAUGCCUGUCCGAGCGUCAUUACUGCCCAUCAAGCGCGGCUUGUGUGUUGGGUCCUCGUCCCUCCCGGGGGACGGGCCCGAAAGGCAGCGGCGGUACCGUCCGGUCCUCGAGCGUAUGGGGCUUUGUCACCCGCUCGAUUAGGGCCCGGUCGGCGCCAGCCGUCAACCCCCAAUUUUUUUUUAUUCAGGUUGACCUCGGAUCAGGUAGGGAUACCCGCUGAACUUAAGCAUAUCAAUAAGCGGAGGA
rnacentral:misc_RNA from 1 species